AAUUGCUUUAUUGAACUUUAAAAAAACAAAACACAAAAUCAUAGUUAUCCAUAAUAAAAAAAUAAACAACAAAAAAUAUCAAUAUCUGUUACACUUUAUCACAGUCUUCUUUUGGUUCCAGUGACAUCCCACCAAUUCCAUAUAGCUUUAACUAUGUAUUUAUCCACCGCACUAUUCAUCUCUGUUUAUAAUAAUUCCUUUUCAAAUAUAAUGUACUUUCUUUAACUUAUUCAGUGAAUUAUAGAAGCUAUUCAAAGGCUACCAUAGACUUCAUAUUAUUACAAUCAAUGCAAUUUUUAAAUAAACCCCAUUUAUUAAAAAAUACUUAAAGUGAUAUCCUGCUUGCAAAUAUAGAUUUUGCUUUUUCCUAUAAAUAUUGUGGUCUUCUCCUUUGCGUAAAGGAAACAUGCUCACCACUUUCUGUUGUUCCCAAAUAAAAGUAGUGCAGUUGUGCAUAGAAUUUUUCUAAUGGGCCAACAUGACUACCUUAAUUUUUUGCCUCAUGAGAAAUUUUGCACCUCUAGCAGAUAUAAACCACCAGAGCUUUUUACAGGAGGAAGAACGGUCCUCCUCUAAGGAGGAACCAAACAAUGCUUGUGCCAAAAGCCUGGGGAGAGCUUUUUAUAUUUCUCCUCCUAAAGUGCAUUAGGGGUCCACUUACUUUUAUGAACAUUUUUAUUGGCAGUGGUGAUAGGAAAAAAUAGUAGAGAGGAAAGAGGUCUUAUGCCAUGUAUCGUAUUUACUCGAAUCUAAUGCUCACCUUUUUUUGGCCAAAUUACAUUGCGAAAAUUAAGGUGUGCAUUUGAUUCGAUGGUGCUUUACACUCGAGUAAACACAGUAAAAAAAUUCCUCUGGCAGAUUUCCUGUGCCUUUUAAAGAUGAAGUUCAAGCGACUAAGCUUUUGCUUGUACAAAUUAGCACCCUCACUGUCUUUCAAGUCAUGUCUGAUGUUGCUGUACACACCAUUACCCUGGCGCUGCCACCCCAACUCCUAUUCAACAAAGCCGUCAUCUGCUCAUGUGCUGUCAUCUGUGUGAGUGGAACCGAUGUCUGAAAUAUACACAUCAUAGCUUAACCAUAGCUUAUGUUUUCAAAUUGGAUGGAAGCUGGUCUGAGGGAAAAUGCAUCAAGCAGCAAUAUUUCUCAAGAAACUACAGGGUACAUCUGGAUUGUGGAUAAUAUCAUGUGUACUCAGCUCUAAAAAGUGAGAGCACACUGGAGCUGAAGCAAACAGUAAUGUAUACAGAAUCUCAGUUUCCACAUUUGUUCCCUUAACUACUGCAAUAAAUCUAUUUUUAAAGA